GAUGGCAUCUGUGCUUCAAGUGCUAAUAACUUAACCAAAAGAAGAAGCAGUGAAAGUGAUGGAGAAGAGAUGAGCUGCCCUUGUUCAAAUCCCACCUCCACCACUUACUAGUACCAGGAGAUUGAACCCAGGGGAGCUCUACAGUGAGCUACAUCUUUGCCUUGAGAUAUUUGAGUUUCCAUCUGGAAAAAAGUUCAUGGAUCAUCAUGUUUGAGCGGUAGUGGAGGGAGAGGCCACAUUCAUUGGCCCUCCAGCUCUGCUAAUAGAUGUGACCCAGCAACAUCUGUGUCGGAAGCAGAAAGGUGGUGUCAUCACAUUUCUCUCUGAGGAACCCUAGCAAUAAUCUGAUUCAUGAAAACACACACAUCCUUCCUGGAGCCCUGGAACUGAAUACAAAUUCAUUGCCCACCAUUCCUAGAAUAUGGACCUGGUGUAGCUCACCUCCUGACACUGGGUUGUCAGGCAGAUAGCACUUGGAUUUAUUAACAACCACAUUCCUUUCCUGUUCCUAUUUCAACUAUCAUUCUAAAAGAUGUCUAAGAGGGAAAAACCAAAAUCACAAGACUGGACUCAUUUCAUCUGUUGGAAUCCACAAUUCUCCAGCUGCUUGAAGGAUAGCUCAAGCCUUGUGUGAUGGGCACAUGAAGACCACUCAUUGGGGGGGGAUUCCUCUUUCGCAGACACACCUGGCCGCACCUCCCCUUAGCCUUAGAUUUUUAUUUAAUUAUAGCAGAGAAGAGAUUUCUAUUGGGGAUAUUUUCCCACUUGACAGCAACUUUAGCCAAUUCUUUAAUCCUGAUAGUACAUUCUUCUUUAAUAU
rnacentral:lncRNA from 1 species